UACGUAGGGUGCGAGCGUUGUCCGGAAUUACUGGGCGUAAAGAGCUUGUAGGCGGUUUGUCGCGUUGUUCGUGAAAUCUCACGGCUUAACUGUGAGCGUGCGGGCGAUACGGGCAGACUAGAGUACUGCAGGGGAGACUGGAAUUCCUGGUGUAGCGGUGGAAUGCGCAGAUAUCAGGAGGAACACCGGUGGCGAAGGCGGGUCUCUGGGCAGUAACUGACGCUGAGAAGCGAAAGCGUGGGGAGCGAACAGG
rnacentral:rRNA from 1 species